rnacentral:rRNA from 1 species
UCCUACGGGAGGCAGCAGCCGCGGUAAUACGGAGGAUGCGAGCGUUAUCCGGAUUUAUUGGGUUUAAAGGGUGCGUAGGCGGUCCGUUAAGUCAGCGGUAAAAUUGCGGGGCUCAACCCCGUCGAGCCGUUGAAACUGGCAGACUUGAGUUGGCGAGAAGUACGCGGAAUGCGCGGUGUAGCGAUGAAAUGCAUAGAUAUCGCGCAGAACUCCGAUUGCGAAGGCAGCGUACCGGCGCCAGACUGACGCUGAGGCACGAAAGCGUGGGGAUCGAACAGGAUUAGAAACCCGAGUAGUCCGAGAUC